GUGAAUCAUCAAAUUUUUGAACGCAAAUUGCGCUUCCUGGUAUCCCGGGAAGUAUGCCUGUUUGAGGGUCAGUAUUAACAAAAAAUCGGUUGGGUUGCAAAUUGUGACGUUUCCGGAGUUUGGGCUUAUCUUAACUUUUUUGUUUAAGGGCCUUAAAAUUAACCUUUUUUGCCCAUUUUUAAACUUACAUAAAUUUUUUUUUUUAUUCGUCUAUUUUUAAUGCCAAAAUUUUAUUAAUUCCAAUCA
rnacentral:misc_RNA from 1 species